GCGUUGAUCGGUGAGCUGUGUAGUUUGUUUAAGGGCAGUAUUAGUAAUAAUAAUACUAGUGUUUUUCAAAUUGGGGAAAAUUUUAAAGCAGAUGAGAUGAAUUGGAAUUCUGGUGCUUUUUUUGAGAUGAAAUUUUUGGCUUAAGUUGAAUUAUCAGUAAUGUUCUUUUUUUAGCAACAUGCCUUGGAAGAAUCUGGUUUCGUCCUUUUGUGUUUAUGUUACUGAGAAAUGCUCAGGAUUUGAUGAAUUUUAGGAUUUUUAUGAGUGAUUGGGGAAGUACAUAUUGAACUAGCAAAGUUCAGUCUUUUUGAGUUGAAAAAUAUACAUAUUUGAAUAUAGGUCCUUAUUAGUAAGUCUACCAGGAAUUAUUAUGCUGGCUUCUGUAUAUGUAGGUUAGAGUGUAUGCAAUCCUUACUCCUGC
rnacentral:lncRNA from 1 species